rnacentral:lncRNA from 1 species
UUAGCGUUAUAAACCGAGUAGGAGGUUUAUAACUGAUAUAUUGCCCCCGAGGACGCGUAGCGUCCGAGGGCAAUAUAUCAGUUAUAAACCGACUUUCGAGGUUUAUAACUAUAACUUAUAUCACAUUUGUGGAGGUUUUCUAACAUAUUUUGUCAUUUUCAAAAAAUUUUAAUGAAAAAUUCUCGUGUUUUGUCUACAAGUUUAAUCUAAUAAUUUAUUCA